rnacentral:rRNA from 1 species
UACGGGGGGGGCAAGCGUUGUUCGGAAUUACUGGGCGUAAAGGGCGCGUAGGCGGUUCGCUAAGUUGGAUGUGAAAACUCUGGGCUCAACCCAGAGCCUGCACCCAAAACUGGCGGGCUAGAGUUCUGGAGGGGGUAGCGGAAUUCCUGGUGUAGCGGUGAAAUGCGUAGAUAUCAGGAGGAACACCGGUGGCGAAGGCGGCUACCUGGACAGAAACUGACGCUGAGGCGCGAAAGCUAGGGGAGCAAACAGG